rnacentral:rRNA from 1 species
GAUGAACGCUGGCGGCGUGCCUAAUACAUGCAAGUCGAGCGAACAGACGAGGAGCUUGCUCCUCUGACGUUAGCGGCGGACGGGUGAGUAACACGUGGAUAACCUACCUAUAAGACUGGGAUAACUUCGGGAAACCGGAGCUAAUACCGGAUAAUAUAUUGAACCGCAUGGUUCAAUAGUGAAAGACGGUCUUGCUGUCACUUAUAGAUGGGUCCGCGCUGCAUUAGCUAGUUGGUAAGGUAACGGCUUACCAAGGCAACGAUGCGUAGCCGACCUGAGAGGGUGAUCGGCCACACUGGAACUGAGACACGGUCCAGACUCCUACGGGAGGCAGCAGUAGGGAAUCUUCCGCAAUGGGCGAAAGCCUGACGGAGCAACGCCGCGUGAGUGAUGAAGGUCUUCGGAUCGUAAAACUCUGUUAUUAGGGAAGAACAAAUGUGUAAGUAACUGUGCACAUCUUGACGGUACCUAAUCAGAAAGCCACGGCUAACUACGUG